UACGUAGGUGACAAGCGUUGUCCGGAUUUACUGGGCGUAAAGAGCGCGCAGGCGGUCGUUCAAGUCGAGUGUGAAAGCCCCCGGCUCAACUGGGGAGGGUCACUCGAUACUGAUCGACUCGAAGGCAGGAGAGGGAAGUGGAAUUCCCGGUGUAGUGGUGAAAUUCGUAGAUAUCAAGCAGAACACCUGCGGCGAAGGCGGCCUUCUGGACGAUGACUGACGCUGAGACGCGAAAGCGUGGGGAGCAAACAGG
rnacentral:rRNA from 1 species